GACGAACGCUGGCGGCGUGCCUAAUACAUGCAAGUAGAACGCUGAAGGAGGAGCUUGCUCUUCUGGAUGAGUUGCGAACGGGUGAGUAACGCGUAGGUAACCUGCCUGGUAGCGGGGGAUAACUAUUGGAAACGAUAGCUAAUACCGCAUAAGAGUAGAUGUUGCAUGACAUUUGCUUAAAAGGUGCAAUUGCAUCACUACCAGAUGGACCUGCGUUGUAUUAGCUAGUUGGUGGGGUAACGGCUCACCAAGGCGACGAUACACAGCCGACCUGAGAGGGUGAUCGGCCACACUGGGACUGAGACACGGCCCAGACUCCUACGGGAGGCAGCAGUAGGGAAUCUUCGGCAAUGGACGGAAGUCUGACCGAGCAACGCCGCGUGAGUGAAGAAGGUUUUCGGAUCGUAAAGCUCUGUUGUAAGAGAAGAACGAGUGUGAGAGUGGAAAGUUCACACUGUGACGGUAUCUUACCAGAAAGGGACGGCUAACUACGUG
rnacentral:rRNA from 1 species